AGUGAACGCUGGCGGUAGGCCUAACACAUGCAAGUCGAACGGCAGCACAGUAAGAGCUUGCUCUUACGGGUGGCGAGUGGCGGACGGGUGAGGAAUACAUCGGACUCUACUUUUUCGUGGGGGAUAACGUAGGGAAACUUACGCUAAUACCGCAUACGACCUACGGGUGAAAGCAGGGGAUCUUCGGACCUUGCGCGAUUGAAUGAGCCGAUGUCGGAUUAGCUAGUUGGCGGGGUAAAGGCCCACCAAGGCGACGAUCCGUAGCUGGUCUGAGAGGAUGAUCAGCCACACUGGAACUGAGACACGGUCCAGACUCCUACGGGAGGCAGCAGUGGGGAAUAUUGGACAAUGGGCGCAAGCCUGAUGCAGCCAUACCGCGUGGGUGAAGAAGGCCUUCGGGUUGUAAAGCCCUUUUGUUGGGAAAGAAAAGCAGCAGGUUAAUACCCCGCUGUUCUGACGGUACCCAAAGAAUAAGCACCGGCUAACUUCGUG
rnacentral:rRNA from 1 species